rnacentral:rRNA from 1 species
CCUACGGGGGGCUGCAGUGAGGAAUAUUGGUCAAUGGGCGCAAGCCUGAACCAGCCAUCCCGCGUGCAGGAAGACGGCCCUAUGGGUUGUAAACUGCUUUUCCAGGGGGAGAAACUUGCGCACGUGUUGCGCAAUUGACGGUACCCUGGGAAUAAGCAUCGGCUAACUCCGUGCCAGCAGCCGCGGUAAUACGGAGGAUGCGAGCGUUAUGGGGAUUCAUGGGGUUUAGAGGGACUAUUAGCUGACUAUUGAAAUCCUGCAGCUUAACUGCAGAACUGCCAUUGAUACUGAUAGCCUUGAGUUUGGUUAAGGUAGGCGGAAUGUGUAAUGUAGCGGUGAAAUGCUUAGAUAUUACACAGAACACCAAUUGCGUAGGCAGCUUACUGAGCCGACACUGACGCUGAGGCACGAAAGCGUGGGGAUCGAACAGGAUUAGAUACCCGAGUAGUC